AUUGAACGCUGGCGGCAGGCUUAACACAUGCAAGUCGAACGAGUGGCGGACGGGUGAGUAAUGUUUGGGAAACUACCUGAUGGAGGGGGAUAACUACUGGAAACGGUAGCUAAUACCGCGUACCAUCGGAUGUGCCCAAGUGGGAUUCGGUAGUUGGUGGGGUAAAGGCUCACCCAGUCGACGAUCCCUAGCUGGUCUGAGAGGAUGACCGGCCACACGGGAACUGAGACACGGCACAGACUCCGACGGGAGGCAGCAGGGGGGAAUAUUGCGCAAUGGGCGCAAGCCUGACGCAGCCAUGCCGCGUGAAUGAAGAAGGCUUUCGGGUUUUAAAGUUCUUUCAGUAGCUAGGCGUUACCUGCAGAAGAAGCACCGGCUAACUCCGUGCCAGCAGCCGCGGUAAUUC
rnacentral:rRNA from 1 species